rnacentral:rRNA from 1 species
UACGUAGGGGGCAAGCGUUGUCCGGAUUUAUUGGGCGUAAAGAGCGUGUAGGCGGCCUGAAAGGUCAGCUGUGAAAACUCGAGGCUCAACCUCGAGACGUCGGUUGAAACCAUCUGGCUAGAGUCCGGAAGAGGAGAGGGGAAUUCCCGGUGUAGCGGUGAAAUGCGCAGAUAUCGGGAAGAACACCCGUGGCGAAGGCGGCUCUCUGGGACGGUACUGACGCUGAGACGCGAAAGCGUGGGGAGCGAACAGG